rnacentral:rRNA from 1 species
UACGGGGGGGGUAAGCGUUGUUCGGAAUUACUGGGCGUAAAGGGCUCGUAGGCGGCCAACUAAGUCAGACGUGAAAUCCCUCAGCUUAACUGGGGAACUGCGUCUGAUACUGGAUGGCUUGGAUUCGGGAGAGGAAUGCGGAAUUCCAGGUGUAGCGGUGAAAUGCGUAGAUAUCUGGAGGAACACCGGUGGCGAAGGCGGAUCUGGCCGAUAUGACG